GACAGAGGGUGCAAACGUUGCUCGGAAUUACUGGGCGUAAAGCGCGUGUAGGCGGACCGGAAAGUCGGGCGUGAAAUCCCUGGGCUCAACCCAGGAACUGCACUCGAAACUUCCGGCCUUGAGUGGUGGAGAGGGUAGUGGAAUUCCUGGUGUAGAGGUGAAAUUCGUAGAUAUCUGGAGGAACACCGGUGGCGAAGGCGGCAUCCUGGACCAACACUGACGCUGAGGAGCGAAAGCCAGGGGAGCAAACGGG
rnacentral:rRNA from 1 species